UACGUAGGGUGCAAGCGUUAAUCGGAAUUACUGGGCGUAAAGCGUGCGCAGGCGGUGAUGUAAGACAGAUGUGAAAUCCCCGGGCUCAACCUGGGACUGACUUUGUGACUGCAUCGCUGGAGUGCGACAGAGGGGGAUGGAAUUCCGCGUGUAGCAGUGAAAUGACGUAGAUAUGCGGAGGAACACCGAUGGCGAAGGCAAUCCCCUGGGCCUGGCAACUGACGGCUCAUGCACGAAAGCGUGGGGAGCAAACAGG
rnacentral:rRNA from 1 species